UGCCUGAUUGAUGCUAGUUCGGACUUUGUGAAUAACAUCCCUGCUCUACUUUGAAUAGUUCCAUUGGAUCGAUUACAACCCUGAGAAAGAAGACAGAAUCUCACUUCUCAUCUGAACAAUGACAUCUUUGACAAUGCAGCAUUCUCUCAUUCUGAUACCAGAACUGAGAUUGUUUUGUGCACAAAUCUCUGCUGUGGAAUUUGACCAAAACCUUCUGACUCACAGGUGGAAACAGGAGGAAUAAUCCAGCUAUCACUGCCAACAGCUGUCUCCAAGAUCUUAACGUCUUUCCUAAAUUCAGGUGCCUAGAGUUGAACACAAUUCUACAGCUGGGCUAGAGACAGCAAUUUAAAAACUAGCUGGUGACAAUUCCUGAUGUGAAGAUCAGCUGUAACCUGGUGACUCCAACUCGCUCCUUGCUCCUCGAGAUCUCCACAUCUCACCAGCGUCUCAGGGCAGACUCCAAGGGCAGCGACUGCAUACAAUCCUCUCCAGCAAGACCUGCAGAUUCUAAUUGGAAAAGUGAGUGCUAAUUCUGCCUCUGCCCAACACACCUGAAAAAAUGAGGGAAACUCUGCAAGGUAGCUGUGGAUUGCCAGCAUUGCACUGAACAUGAAGCCAACAGUAGGAAUUUCAGCAGGUCCCAGCAGUGGCCACUUUUGCCACCUGUGAUGAGUGGGAGAAUAUUUUCCAUGCAAUGCCGUAGAGGAGUGGUGUAGUUAAUGAGGCGUCUUUUGGACAACAUCAUGUGAAAACCCAUUAGGGCUGCUGAAGAGAAACCCUCUAUGAAACUUUCCAAUAAUAGCCAAUUUCUGGUGUGAUUCAACCUCCCAACUCUGAGACUGCCAACUCUGUUCCCAACUUGUCCAAGGGUAAACCUCCUCUCGUCAGGAAUUCAUCAGUGGGUAUCCACCUACAGGUUGUUCUGCUAUAAUACCCAUUUUGUUAAUGCAAAUUUGCUGUAAUAUGAUUGAUGAAUUGGGGACACUGUUUCUAAAGUGCAAACUUUUAAAACGUGUGUUGAUUGUAACGCGAUUACAUCACCAACAUGUUAAGUGCUGUUUGUAAAGCGCGAUUUUUCUACAACACAGACUUGCACAAGAUUGCAACUAUCACAUUAUAGAACUACUUGUAUCCAAUCCCUCCUCCCCCCGCAUUGUCCCAUCGACCUCUCUCCAGGCUCUAAAUCUAUCUCAAGUAUAAGCAAAAUACUACAGAUACUGGGCAUCUGAAACAGCAUAGAGGUAGCUGGAGAAACUCAACAGGUUUGGCAGCAUUUGUGGAGAGCGAAAUAGAGUUAAUGUUUUGAAACUAGAAGUUCUGAAGAAGAGUCAUUUCAGACAU